GCGUUCGCGAGUCGGCUUUUCCGCCCUGACCGCACCCCUGAUGCCUCCCGGCCGCCGUAGGCGAAGGUUCGCGGAAGAGGGGAGCCGGCGCUCACCUGAGCUGACUCAGAAAUUGGAAUGAGUUGUCUGUGGAUCCUCUAAGGAGCCUGGACAUGGUGAAGAGAAUGUCUUGACCAUCAGGAGACAGCUUACCUUGUUGAAUCUUGAUCACUUCUUCUGACCACUUUGGAUCUUAAAAGAACAAGAUUUCACCUUCAGUGCUGUGAUCAUCGUUCAACUAUCCAAAAGAUUGUCGCUGAGAAGUGGGAUUGACAUGGUCUCAGGAUGUGGACUCAAAACCAAUGGAAGGAAAAAAUUGAGCUCUGGAAAUUUUUGUGGAAGAAUAAAGGCUGCCUCACAGAGGAGUGAGCUUUCUGUCAU